UGAAACCAUUUAUGCUCGCCCGCAACC
rnacentral:piRNA from 1 species